UAAGGAUACCCUCAACUACUUCAAGCCUUGUCAACUCGGAAUUUUCCUUCAGUGCUGUCCAAAUACUCCACAACUGCUUUAACAGCAUUUUGUAAACUCUCUAUCCACCACUAAGACCUGAGGAACUCCCUGGCUAUUAAGGAUACCCUCAACUACUUCAAGCCUUGUCAACUCGGAAUUUUCCUUCAGUGCUGUCCAAAUACUCCACAACUGCUUUAACAGCAUUUUGUAAACUCUCUAUCCACCACUAAGACCUGAGGAACUCCCUGGCUAUUAAGGAUACCCUCAACUACUUCAAGCCUUGUCAACUCGGAAUUUUCCUUCAGUGCUGUCCAAAUACUCCACAACUGCUUUAACAGCAUUUUGUAAACUCUCUAUCCACCACUAAGACCUGAGGAACUCCCUGGCUAUUAAGGAUACCCUCAACUACUUCAAGCCUUGUCAACUCGGAAUUUUCCUUCAGUGCUGUCCAAAUACUCCACAACUGCUUUAACAGCAUUUUGUAAACUCUCUAUCCACCACUAAGACCUGAGGAACUCCCUGGCUAUUAAGGAUACCCUCAACUACUUCAAGCCUUGUCAACUCGGAAUUUUCCUUCAGUGCUGUCCAAAUACUCCACAACUGCUUUAACAGCAUUUUGUAAACUCUCUAUCCACCACUAAGACCUGAGGAACUCCCUGGCUAUUAAGGAUACCCUCAACUACUUCAAGCCUUGUCAACUCGGAAUUUUCCUUCAGUGCUGUCCAAAUACUCCACAACUGCUUUAACAGCAUUUUGUAAAGUACGUCUUAACACGUGACUCUGCUGUUAGCUAAUCUCAACACUGUUUUUGUUUUCCUUUAUUUGAGUGCACCAAACUGUUUUGGCCUCUGUGUCAGGAAUACUAGCAGCCAGACUCUUCUCUAUGACCAGUAUUUUCUAAACAUUUUCCUUCCCUUACUGAUUCUCACUCCCUCCCAACCAAAGCGAUUUACUUCUGCCCUUAGUCACCUACUGUAAUACUACCUCAGAACUCUAGGUGUCAGUCUACCCAGGCCUACUCCUUAUCCUCUUUCUACCCUUACUAGCUAAGCUCCUUCCCUACUCUU